rnacentral:rRNA from 1 species
GACGAACGCUGGCGGCGUGCUUAACACAUGCAAGUCGAACGGUAAGGCCCUUCGGGGUACACGAGUGGCGAACGGGUGAGUAACACGUGGGUGAUCUGCCCUGCACUUUGGGAUAAGCCUGGGAAACUGGGUCUAAUACCGAAUAUGACCGCAUCCUGCAUGGGGUGUGGUGGAAAGCUUUUGCGGUGUGGGAUGGGCCCGCGGCCUAUCAGCUUGUUGGUGGGGUGAUGGCCUACCAAGGCGACGACGGGUAGCCGGCCUGAGAGGGUGACCGGCCACACUGGGACUGAGAUACGGCCCAGACUCCUACGGGAGGCAGCAGUGGGGAAUAUUGCACAAUGGGCGCAAGCCUGAUGCAGCGACGCCGCGUGGGGGAUGACGGCCUUCGGGUUGUAAACCUCUUUCAGUAGGGACGAAGCGCAAGUGACGGUACCUAUAGAAGAAGGACCGGCCAACUACGUGCCAGCAGCCGCGGUAAUACGUAGGGUCCGAGCGUUGUCCGGAAUUACUGGGCGUAAAGAGCUCGUAGGUGGUUUGUCACGUUGUUCGUGAAAACCCACAACUCAAUUGUG